rnacentral:rRNA from 1 species
AGUGAACGCUGGCGGUAGGCCUAACACAUGCAAGUCGAACGGCAGCACAGGAGAGCUUGCUCUCUGGGUGGCGAGUGGCGGACGGGUGAGGAAUACAUCGGAAUCUACCUUUUCGUGGGGGAUAACGUAGGGAAACUUACGCUAAUACCGCAUACGACCUACGGGUGAAAGUGGGGGACCGCAAGGCCUCACGCGAUUAGAUGAGCCGAUGUCCGAUUAGCUAGUUGGCGGGGUAAUGGCCCACCAAGGCGACGAUCGGUAGCUGGUCUGAGAGGAUGAUCAGCCACACUGGAACUGAGACACGGUCCAGACUCCUACGGGAGGCAGCAGUGGGGAAUAUUGGACAAUGGGCGCAAGCCUGAUCCAGCCAUACCGCGUGGGUGAAGAAGGCCUUCGGGUUGUAAAGCCCUUUUGUUGGGAAAGAAAUCCUGUCGAUUAAUACUCGGUGGGGAUGACGGUACCCAAAGAAUAAGCAUCGGCUAACUUCGUGCCAGCCGCCGCAGUAAAAC